AGAGAGCCAGCCCAGCCCUGCCGACCGCAGCACUCUCGGAAGGGCUCGGCCACCCGGAGCCUCGUCACGAGUCUUACCCAGGGUUCGGAGCGGGCCUGCAAGAAGGGGCAGGCCAGGCUGGGGCUGCAAGGCAGGGUCUUCCCUUGGAGAAGGGACCUGACUCUAUUAUUAAGAGAACGAAAGAGGCACUUGCCCUACAGUGUGUAGAGCAUGGCCUCUCUCCUGGAAUGGCAUCUUAUACAUAUAACCCAUUGGAGCCAAGAGUUUUACCUUUACAUGCAACUACAUUUUCAGAGAUUGAUUUGACUUCCUCUUCAGAUGUUUUUUCUAUUCAAGAGGUAAAACAUAGGGAUAUUUGGACUCUCAGAACAGCGGUCUGGAUUUUCCUCUUUGACCUUUGCUUACAUGGGGUUCCUCAGAAAGCAGAGUCUCAGAUAAAAUAUAUAUGCUAUAUCUUUUGAAGAACGCAGUUCCAGGGAAGCAGGAGAAAAGAAAAGGAGAAUGAGUCAGACAAGCAAGGAAAGCGACCGGAAUUGUGCCCCAAAGAGCUGGCGGCUGCGUGGUAGGACAUGCAUACUGUGUUUAAGCUCCCAUUUCACCUUUCAUUUUCUGAAAGACCUGUGAACUGCCGCAUCUCACAGGGGAAGAACCCACAGAACAUUAACAUCUCCAUUUCCAGGCUGCAGAGGUACCAAGCCAGUGGAUCCUCCCGCCCCCAUGUCUCUCACAAAGCUGCUUGUAGCCCAGUGGGGACCAGCAGGCGUCCAAGGACCCUGGGGAGCCGUGGUGGCAGCUAGGCUGUGUCUCCUGCAGGCCUCUCUGAAACUGCCUGGCUGGCUCAUGCCCUCUCAUUCUGUCCAGUCAUUGACGGUGGCUACACUGCAUUGAUCUGGGAACACAAUGUCAUUUCUUCCCUGACGGCGAAGAGACAAAUCCAGCAAGCCACAGAGCCCCUGUCACGGAGUGGAAAGCGAUGGUCUCUGAAGAGAAUCAACAAGGGGAGUUAAAAAAAGCAGAACCAGGCUGGGCACGGUAGCUCACACCUGUAAUCCCAGCACUUUGAGAGGUCGAGGUGGGCGGAUCUCCUGUGCUCCAAAGUUUGGGACCAGACUGGGCAACACAGGGAGACCCCAUCUCUACUAAAAAUAAUAAAAAAUACAUUCGUGGGACAUAGUGCAUGCCUGUGGUCCCAGCUACUCAGGAGCCUGAGAUGGGAGGAUCGCUUGAGCCCAGGAGGUCGGGGCUUCAGUGAGCCAUGAUCAUGCCACUGCACUCCAGCCUGGGCCACAGAGCCAGAUCCUGUCAUUAACAAAUAAAUAAAUAAAUAAAUAAA